rnacentral:rRNA from 1 species
UACAGAGGGUGCAAGCGUUGUUCGGAAUUAUUGGGCGUAAAGGGCGCGUAGGCGGUGCGGUAAGUCUGCAGUGAAAUCUCUGGGCUCAACUCAGAGUCUGCUGUGGAAACUGCCGUGCUUGAGUGUGGGAGAGGUGAGUGGAAUUCCCGGUGUAGCGGUGAAAUGCGUAGAGAUCAGGAAGAACAUCGGUGGCGAAGGCGGUCUGCUGGACCAUAACUGACACUCAGGGACGAAAGCUAGGGGAGCGAAUGGG